rnacentral:rRNA from 1 species
GACGAACCGUGCGAACGUUGUUCGGAAUCACUGGGCUUAAAGGGCGCGUAGGCGGGCCUUCAAGUCCGGGGUGAAAUCCUCCCGCUUAACGGGAGAAGAGCCUCGGAGACUGGGGGCCUCGAGGGAGGUAGGGGCGUGCGGAACUAUGGGUGGAGCGGUGAAAUGCAUUGAUAUCCAUAGGAACUCCGGUGGCGAAGGCGGCACGCUGGACCUCUUCUGACGCUGAGGCGCGAAAGCCAGGGGAGCAAACGGG